rnacentral:rRNA from 1 species
UGCCAGCAGCCGCGGUAAUACAGAGGUCCCAAGCGUUGUUCGGAUUCAUUGGGCGUAAAGGGUGCGUAGGCGGUGCCAUAAGUCGGAUGUGAAAUCUCGGAGCUCAACUCCGAAACUGCAUUCGAUACUGUGGUGCUAGAGGACUGGAGAGGAGAUUGGAAUUCACGGUGUAGCAGUGAAAUGCGUAGAUAUCGUGAGGAAGACCAGUGGCGAAGGCGGAUCUCUGGACAGUUCCUGACGCUGAGGCACGAAGGCCAGGGGAGCAAACGGGAUUAGAUACCCCGGUAGUCCUGGCAGUAAACGGUGUACGUUUGGUAUGGGAGGAUUCGACCCCUUCCGUGCCGGAGCUAACGCGUUAAACGUACCGCCUGGGGAGUACGGUCGCAAGAUUAAAACUCAAAUAAAUUGACGG